AGACCCGAAACCCGGUGAUCUAGCCAUGGGCAGGUUGAAGGUUGGGUAACACUAACUGGAGGACCGAACCGACUAAUGUUGAAAAAUUAGCGGAUGACCUGUGGCUGGGGGUGAAAGGCCAAUCAAACCGGGAGAUAGCUGGUUCUCCCCGAAAGCUAUUUAGGUAGCGCCUCGUGAAUUCAUCUCCGGGGGUAGAGCACUGUUUCGGCUAGGGGGCCAUCCCGGCUUACCAACCCGAUGCAAACUGCGAAUACCGGAGAAUGUUAUCACGGGAGACACACGGCGGGUGCUAACGUCCGUCGUGAAGAGGGAAACAACCCAGACCGCCAGCUAAGGUCCCAAAGUCAUGGUUAAGUGGGAAACGAUGUGGGAAGGCCCAGACAGCCAGGAUGUUGGCUUAGAAGCAGCCAUCAUUUAAAGAAAGCGUAAUAGCUCACUGGUCGAGUCGGCCUGCGCGGAAGAUGUAACGGGGCUAAACCAUGCACCGAAGCUGCGGCAGCGACACUAUGUGUUGUUGGGUAGGGGAGCGUUCUGUAAGCCU
rnacentral:rRNA from 1 species